UCUAUGCCCGUCGGAUGCGUUGGCGGGUUUUUUUUCGGGAUUUUUCGGGCGCUCGAACCGUGGUGUAGUUUCGAUAGGUGAGGAGGUGUUUUUUUUGUGAUCGCGCGCGGAUUUUACGGAUUUUUUCGCGGCGGGAUUGAUCCGGGACGAGAGUGACCGCGGUCGAGGAUCUAGAUUUCGGGAAGUUGCGAUCUUCUGGAAACCGAGUGAAUCGCGGAGGGAGUGUUUUUAUGGUUCAUUUUUUGUCCCCUCGUGCGAAGCGCGCCCAUCCUGAGCGGAUGAGGAUGCUGUGAAGAGUCCGGAGAGGAAGGUCGUCGUCGUCGUCGUCGUCGCGGCCAAGAAGAAUGGUUAUUAAAUCGAUGACGUCGGUGUUUCUGGUCCCGGUCAGGUUGAAGGGUUGACCUGGUGGAUGGAUGCUGCUACACUUGCACGACGAUGGCCAAUCGCAGGGCCUGUGACGGAGGUUAGGGUUGGGCCCUGAGCCCCGUGACAGCAGUGUGGUGGAAAUCGGCUUGUUGACGACUGAGUGAGCCCGUGCAAGAGUGAUGGUCGUCGUGAUGGUGUACGAUACGAUGGGUCCAGAGUACGAUACAGUCGAUGGGGCUUAAUGGUGCAUCGGUUGUUCUGUGUCGAUACAGGCAUCGUACGGUGAACUUCAGCUCAGUGUGCUAAGGGCUUUGUGUGCAACGAGGUUAAGCUACAGUAAACGAGGAUUACAAGACCAGCAAAGGCUGCACCAAACAAAAACAAAAGCUCAGCUGCGCCACGAAGAGGGAGUUGACAUCUCGCAAAAUUAAUUUAGCCGUGAUUCGGCAACUCGCCAAGUGUGCUAAAAAGUGUGAUGAAAAUUGAUUGUGUGGCGAAAGCCGAAAGUGUGCGUGUGUGUUUGUGUGCAACCAACGAAGAACUCAUCGUCCUUGAAGAGUUUGCCGAAACGUGACCAAGUUCUUGGAAGAGUUUUUGCGCCACAAAGUGUCCAGUCAUGGGAUUUUGCUGGAGCAGUUGAACGGCAAAACUUUUGUUUCGAAGAAAUAAACACGGAAUACCAACAUCAUCCUAGGUCCGGAAAUCGACACAAAAGGCCACCGCCAAACAAAAGCGCAGAAAGGCCACACAAAUACACGGAUUCCGGAAACAACGCAGCCAGGAGCAGCUUUUUUCAAAUUAAGCGGUGUUACGUAUUAUGGAAAACUUUUCCGUUGCGAAUCCAGCGACGCCAGCAGCAGACGUCGAGGGGCGGCUCUGGCGCCCUCGGAUGCAAAUGACUGCCCUGGCAACUUCGGUGGACCCUCCCGGGCGCGGCGGCUCGUAAUCGUCGACAGCCACCCUGUACGGAUCGUCAGCUUUGGUAGAUCCCUCAAAAUAAAAAAAAAAGCGAACUUGAGACUUGAGCAUAGCGUGAAAUUGCUACUGAUGGUAUUGUCGGAAUAAUUUAUAAUAAUAUAAUCCACUUCAACGGUAAAAGUUGAGGGAAACCCUGGGGGAACAGUUUUCUCAACAAUGGAAAAAAAGUUGCUAAAGCGGUGAAAUAGACGCGAAUACUUCCACCAAGUACAAGCUAGUAAGAGAAGAGAAAAGGUAGAAGUUUAAUCACCUGUUGUAAAACAAAAAGAAAGAAAAAAAAGUAUUAAAGGUAGACAUUUUCCGGAGCCAAGCCAAGCAAAAAAAAAAGAGGUUCAAAAGUUUCGCAACAAAAGUAGCUUCGGAAGCUCGUGUCCCCGGAGGAGAACCGAAAGUGAGAGUGACGUUUGAGCUUUUCGGGGGCAGAAGUUGUUCGAGGGCGGGGAGGAAAUGUGUAAGCUUUUUUCGCUCCCUUUCGCUGCUGGUGGGUGGUGGGAGCGUGCGCAAGUGUUAAGGUUAUGGUAAUCCUCGUGAGCACAGCUGGAAAAGUUUGGAAAAUUUUCGGCCCCCAAGUAAGGUGAGGGAGGCAAGGCGGAGAGAGAGAGAGAGAGCAAAAAAAAAA
rnacentral:lncRNA from 1 species